ACUGGUGAGUAACGUGUAAAGAACUUGCCUCUUAGACUGGGAUAACAAGUGGAAACGCUUGAUAAUACUAGAUAUUAUGAUACUAAGGCAUCUUGGUAACAUGAAAGGAUAAGAUUGCUAAGAGAGAGCUUUGCAUCCUAUUAGCUAGUUGGUGGGGUAAAGGCCUACCAAGGCGAUGAUAGGUAGCCGGCCCGAGAGGGUGAACGGCCACAAGGGGACUGAGAUACGGCCCUUACUCCUACGGGAGGCAGCAGUGGGGAAUAUUGGACAAUGGAGGUAACUCUGAUCCAGCAAUUCUGUGUGCACGAAGAAGGUUUUCGGAUUGUAAAGUGCUUUCAGUAGGGAAGAAGAAAGUGACGGUACCUACAGAAGAAGCGACGGCUAAAUACGUGCCAGCAGCCGCGGUAAUACGUAUGUCGCAAGCGUUAUCCGGAAUUAUUGGGCUUAAAGGGCAUCUAGGCGGUUUUUCAAGUCAGGGGUGAAAACUUAUGGCUCAACUAUAAGCUUGCCUUUGAAACUGAAAGACUAGAGUACUGGAAAGGUGGGUGGAACUACACGAGUAGAGGUGAAAUUCGUAGAUAUGUGUAGGAAUGCCGAUGAUGAAGAUAACUCACUGGACAGAAACUGACGCUGAAGUGCGAAAGCUAGGGGAGCAAACAGGAUUAGAUACCCUGGUAGUCCUAGCUGUAAAC
rnacentral:rRNA from 1 species